UCUCAGUUAAUUAAUUUACCAGUAUAACCCCCAUUUGGAGAUUUUAAUACUUACGUAGAAAAGUAAAAAAUAACUAAACAACCAUCAUAUUAGACCGUUGUAUACCUAUUAAAUGGCUGAUUUCGAAAUAUGGAAUGUUUGACGUGAUAUAAUAACAUAAUAUUAUCACAAAACAGCACUUAUGUAUAUCAAUUCCAACCUUUUUUGUUGGCUACAAAAAGGUGAACUACAAUUGAGGUAAUUUACAAGCCGAGCUGAACUCGCUUCGAUUGUUCGAGCCGAGCCGAGCGCUUGAAUUUGCCGAAUUACUCGAAAUCGACGAACUGUUUAAAACAAAACCGAGCGUCGUAAAACUUCGAUUUACUUGAAGAUGAAUUUUCAGCUCGAAUAUUCGAGUAGCUCGCUUUUUUUUCAAGCAGUUCGUCGAUUUCGACCGAUCAUUGUUUGACUCGAAAUUUGAGUAUUCGAAUAAAUUGAGCACUCGCACACCUCUGACAAUGAGAGCCAACUCUUUUUCGGCCAUUUCCGAUCGAACCGAAAGUGGCAAAAAAAAAUAAAAAUUCAGCAAUUCGUUAAAAUUUUAACCCACUAAACACAAUCGCGCAAGAAUUUUUUCGAUAACUCUUAUCGUUUGGCCUGUACAAAAGUGACAGAAAGUCUAAAUGCUAUAGCCUCCUUCUCAAGAUUUUCAAUCUUACGAUUAGAUACGGAUUGGCUAAUAACUACAUAAAUUAAUACUCUUAAUACAAAAUGAUUGAUUUGCAGUUGGAGUAAACAUGUGAAAUCUAACGCAAUUUCAUGACACAAAAGUAUUUUAACAUAACACCUAUGAUAUAGGGACGACAACUGCGCAUGUAACGGCAUCUGAAUAUACAAAAAAGGAAGUAGUCAACAGAAAAGUACCUACAUUAAAAAUUUAAAAAAAGAAAACUUACACUGAUUGGUUUUAUAAUAUUUGUGCAGAAGACCGGAAGGAAAAUAUGAUUCGAAGCUUGAAAUCUAAAGCAUGGAUGCAUGAUCUAUGCGCUGGAGUUAACAAAAGAAUAAAGAAAUAUGUGUGUGAUGUUUGUACUAACUGAAUAUGUAACAUAUGUAAACAGAUUAAUAAAGAAAUA